rnacentral:rRNA from 1 species
GACGAACGCUGGCGGCGUGCUUAACACAUGCAAGUCGAACGAAGAGCGAUGGAAGCUUGCUUCUAUCAAUCUUAGUGGCGAACGGGUGAGUAACGCGUAAUCAACCUGCCCUUCAGAGGGGGACAACAGUUGGAAACGACUGCUAAUACCGCAUACGAUCUAAUCUCGGCAUCGAGGAUAGAUGAAAGGUGGCCUCUACAUGUAAGCUAUCACUGAAGGAGGGGAUUGCGUCUGAUUAGCUAGUUGGAGGGGUAACGGCCCACCAAGGCGAUGAUCAGUAGCCGGGCUGAGAGGAUGAACGGCCACAAUGGGACUGAGACACAGCCCAGACUCCUACGGGAGGCAGCAGUGGGGAAUCUUCCGCAAUGGACGAAAGGCUGACGGAGCAACGCCGCGUGAGUGAUGACGGCCUUCGGGUUGUAAAGCUCUGUUAAUCGGGACGAAAGGCCUUCUUGCGAAUAGUGAGAAGGAUUGACGGUACCGGAAUAGAAAGCCACGGCUAACUACGUG